ACAUUCGGAGCUGCUCCUCAGGGUUCUGGGCACGUUGCGUAUUGCGCCCCAGCCUUCUCAGCAGCCAGGAGCUGAGAGGUGGAGGGGCCUGUGGUCUGGCCGCCGCCUAGCAGGCCUGCAUGGACACCUCCAGCCGGGUGCAGGCUGGCUGGGGUGGGGCUGCCCUUGACCUUGGGUUCUCCCUCCUCCGCCAGAUCCUCAGGCGCUGGCUCAGCCUCCCACGGCCCAGGGGAGCCUCUGUCUGCUCCUUCCACCCAUUCAAGGACGAGGCUUCCGAAAGACUCACUGUUCCUGUGUGGGGAACUGAGGCCGUGUGAAGGCUGGAUGAACCGCUGCUGUGGCCUGUGGAAGGCAGAUGUUUUGGGGCCGUGAUGGGCUGGCCUGGCUGUGCCGAGGUGCCUGGAGGCAGAACCGUUUCAGGAUCCCGAUGGGGACGUAGAGGAUGCGGGAAGCCCAUGAGUGCCUCCUGUGCGUGAGCGCUUUGCUUCUCAGGCCCUAGGCCAGGCCUCGUUCCCAUCAGAUAAAGCCUGGGGCGGCCGGACGCAGUGCAAGCAAUCGUGCCUGACUCACAGGAAGGGAGGAAAACAGGAAUUCACGCAGAAGCUGUAAUGUUCCCCCUUGGCCCUGGGAAGGGUGUGAAGGGAUGUGCGGGGGGGCGGCUCCGCCCUUCCUCGCCCCUUUCCAGGUGCCUAGACUUGGGAAGGAGAGGGAUGCCGCCAAGCUCGGGUCCUGCAGGGCCCCGGCCUUCUGGUGUGGGAUCUGGCUUGGGAAGGCCCGGUGCUGGGGCUGCUGCUGAAAUUCUUGAGACUGGUUGACAAGGGAUCCCAUGGUUUCAUUUUGCACCGGGCCCCUCCAGGGAUGGAGAGGGUCCUGACUGGCAGUGUCGAAGCCCCGGGGUCUCUCCUUGGUCCCUGGCUCCCCUCACAGCCCUCCCUGCCCAUGGAGCUCCGGGCUUCCGCACACAUUUCUCUCCUUUUUAACAGCUCAUUUCUUUGGGUUCAGCAGUACCUGGGUCCCCAGUGCCCUCCUUCUGAGGCUGUCUCCUUUGAGUGGCCACCCUCCCCCAACACACCUGGAGCCCGGAACCGGGAGUGCCGUGGACACCAGCCCUCCCUGGCCCAGAGACUCUGCCUCUCCUGGGCCUCCCAAGAGUAAAACCUCUCCAUGCCAGACCAGGCUGCAAAUCUGGAUUUGAAACUAGUGCUGUCGCACUCCUUGAACUGUAUCAGGGGUUUUCAGUAGCGGGACCGGAACCAGAACCCAAAAGAGGCUCCUUCCUUGUCUUGAAUUCCUCCCACCUGAGUUAGCAUCUUGGAGGUCAACGUUUCAAGGAAUUCAGUAUCUGAGAAGAGAAAGACACCAAAGCGUAGUUCCCCAUGAAGACUUGUUGCUGAAUAAAACAUCUAACUCC